GACAGGGAGGCGAAACACUGAAGUAGACAUGGAUGCUGGCUAACCAGCCUUCUGCAGAGGGAGGCACCCCCCGGCCCAUGGGAUCUCAGCAUUCAAAGCAACAGAGGACACUGGGGCCCCUGAAACGGGGCCAUCGAAGAGAUCGCUCUGGUCAUGACCUCACUCAUUCUGGGCUGCCUGCCUGCUGUCCUGGGCCCCACAGAGUGAGCACCCGACGGAACACCCUCCACCCUGAUCCCACUUAACUCCCACCUGAAGCGGCUGAGACCGAGGCCCUGAAGGAGGCCUUGAAUGACCACGGUCUGGCCAGGC